CUGGAAUGACAGACUUGUGCCCCCAUGCCCAGCUAAUUUUUUUGUGUUUUAGUAGAGAUGGGGUUUCACCGUGUUGGCCAUGCUGGUCUUGAAUUCCUGUCCUCAGCCCCACAAAGUGCUGGGAUUACAGGAGUGAGCCACUGUGCCCCGCCUCAUCUAUAUUUCUUAAAAACAAGGGCAUCUCUUAUGUAACUACAAUACAAUUAUCAAAUCCUGGAAAUUUAACAUUGAUAUAAUACCAUCUUCUAAUUUCUAUUCACAUUCAAAUUUUGCCAGUUGUCCCAGUAAUGACCUCAUGGCCAUUGUUUCCCACCCCAGUAUGACAUUACAGUUAGCUGUCAUGCCUCUUUAAUCUCUUACCUGAAACAGUUCCUGUCUUUGUCUUUCACAACAUUGAUGUCUUUGAAGAGUAAGGGCCAGUAGUUUUGCAAAUGUCCUUCAGCUUGGGUUUGUCUGUUUCCUCAGAACUGAGUUCAGGUGAUGUGUUAUUGAAGUGAUGUCGAGUCUUUGGCACGCAUCUCACCAGGAAGUGUGCGAUCUUGCUUUGUCCCCUGGCGAUGCCAGCUGUGGGGAUUUGACUAGGGUGGCAUCUACCAGGUGUCUUCACUUUCUCCUUUGUGCUGAAUAAGUCAUCCAGGGGAGGCAUUUGGAGAUCAUGUAGAUAUCCUGUCCCUAUAACAUUGUCACUUGUGGUUUUAGAAAAUCAUGCUUUGAUGGUUCUCCCCAGAUUCCGUCGCUGUUAGGAUGGCAGCCACGUGCUGGCUUUCUAAGGCCAACAUCCCUUCCACGUCUGUCUGUGGUUGCUGGUUUUGAUGCCUGUUUAGAGCAGACAGAUCUCAGCGCAGUGGGGAGUGCUGAAAUGGGUUCCCUUCCAAAAGGGAAACCCCCAGAGGGGCAGUCCUUGGGAGAAACAAUUUAGCAGCAAGUACUGUGAAAUUAACCCUGCACCUUUGACCAUGUGAUCCCAGUUCCAGAUUUUUCAUCUCUCUUUUGUGUUAUAAGUAACACCCAAAAUGAUACUGUUUCAUAGAAAAAGUGUUCAAAUAUAGAGCCCCUGGAGGAGAGAAAUUGAAAGCACUGUGUCUGUGGCAGGUGGAAGUGCUCAGAGCCUUCCUCCUGAGAACAGGGUGGCGUGGGCUCUGGAGAGGGGACCUGGAUUUGGGUCCUGACACAAGUUGGGCAAACCGCCUGCCGUUUCUGCUCAUCUGUGAAAUGGAGUCACGCAUCCCUGUUGUGGAGGAGUUGGGUCCCUGCUUCCCCUUCUCUGUGAGCGUGGAACUGGACGGUGUGGUCUGCCCUGCGGGCACUGCGAAUAGCAAGACAGAGGCCAAACAGCAGGCAGCGCUGUCUGCCCUCUGCUACAUCCGGAGUCAGCUGGAGAACCCAGAGUCCCCCCAGACCUCCAGCCAGCCUCCACUGGCCCCCCUGAGCAUAGAGAACAUCCUGACCCAUGAGCAGCGCUGCGCAGCGUUGGUGAGCGCUGGCUUUGACCUCCUGUUGGAUGAGCGCUCGCCAUACUGGGCCUGUAAGGGGACUGUGGCUGGAGUCAUCCUGGAGAGGGAGAUCCCGCGUGCCAGGGGCCACGUGAAGGAGAUCUACAAGCUGGUGGCUCUGGGCACUGGCAGCAGCUGCUGUGCUGGCUGGCUGGAGUUCUCGGGCCAGCAGCUCCAUGACUGCCAUGGCCUGGUCAUCGCCCGCAGGGCCCUGCUGAGGUUCUUGUUCCGGCAGCUCCUGCUGGCCACACAGGGGGGCCCCAAGGGCAAGGAGCAGUCCGUGCUGGCCCCCCAGCCAGGGCCCGGACCCCCAUUCACCCUCAAGCCCCGCGUCUUCCUGCACCUCUACAUCAGCAACACCCCCAAGGGCGCGGCCCGUGACAUCUACUGACUCAUGCCAUGACCCUCCAACUCUGAGCAGGGCCAUCCACACCCGGCCCUGCCUGGACAGUGUCCUGGGGCCAUGCCUGCCACCUCCCUACGUCCGGACUGCCCUGCACCUGUUUGCAGGGCCCCCGGUGGCCCCUUCCGAACCCACCCCUGACACCUGCCGUGGCCUGAGCCUCAACUGGAGCCUGGGGGACCCUGGCAUCGAGGUUGUGGAUGUGGCCACCGGGCGUGUGAAGGCCAAUGCCGCCCUGGGGCCUCCCUCCCGUCUCUGCAAGGCCUCCUUUCUCCGGGCCUUUCACCAGGCGGCCAGGGCUGUGGGGAAGCCCUACCUCCUGGCCUUGAAGACCUACGAGGCUGCCAAGGCUGGGCCCUACCAGGAGGCUCGCCGGCAGCUGUCUCUUCUCCUGGACCAGCAGGGCCUGGGGGCUUGGCCCUCGAAGCCACUGGUGGGCAAAUUCAGAAACUGAAGUCGGCCUCCGCGGGACCACGGUCCCGGAGCCAAGCUAUACCCCUGCUUGGGGAGUGCCCUAUCUGAGGAGCGUUGUGGGGAGAACAUGGGUUGUGCGGGGUGAAACUGGGGCUGGAGGGAAGGAGGAGCCUGCUGUGGUUGGGAGGCGGCUGCUGCACGUUUGGGCUUGAAUAAAGAAGUAUUUCUGGUU
rnacentral:sRNA from 1 species